GAUGAACGCUGGCGGCGUGCCUAAUACAUGCAAGUCGAGCGAACAGACGAGGAGCUUGCUCCUCUGACGUUAGCGGCGGACGGGUGAGUAACACGUGGAUAACCUACCUAUAAGACUGGGAUAACUUCGGGAAACCGGAGCUAAUACCGGAUAAUAUAUUGAACCGCAUGGUUCAAUAGUGAAAGACGGUUUUGCUGUCACUUAUAGAUGGAUCCGCGCCGCAUUAGCUAGUUGGUAAGGUAACGGCUUACCAAGGCAACGAGGCGUAGCCGACCUGAGAGGGUGAUCGGCCACACUGGAACUGAGACACGGUCCAGGCUCCUACGGGAGGCAGCAGUAGGGAAUCUUCCGCAAUGGGCGAAAGCCUGACGGAGCAACGCCGCGUGAGUGAUGAAGGUCUUCGGAUCGUAAAACUCUGUUAUUAGGGAAGAACAAAUGUGUAAGUAACUAUGCACGUCUUGACGGUACCUAAUCAGAAAGCCACGGCUAACUACGUG
rnacentral:rRNA from 1 species